UACGGGGGGGGGUAAGCGUUGUUCGGAAUUACUGGGCGUAAAGGGCUCGUAGGCGGCCAACUAAGUCAGACGUGAAAUCCCUCAGCUUAACUGGGGAACUGCGUCUGAUACUGGAUGGCUUGGAUUUGGGAGAGGGAUGCGGAAUUCCAGGUGUAGCGGUGAAAUGCGUAGAUAUCUGGAGGAACACCGGUGGCGAAGGCGGCAUCCUGGACCAAUAUUGACGCUGAGGAGCGAAAGCCAGGGGAGCAAAGCGGG
rnacentral:rRNA from 1 species